rnacentral:rRNA from 1 species
UACGUAGGGGGCAAGCGUUGUCCGGAUUUAUUGGGCGUAAAGAGCGUGUAGGCGGCCAUACAGGUCCGUUGUGAAAACUCGAGGCUUAACCUCGAGACGUCGAUGGAAACCGUAUGGCUAGAGUCCGGAAGAGGAGAGUGGAAUUCCUGGUGUAGCGGUGAAAUGCGCAGAUAUCAGGAGGAACACCGGUGGCGAAGGCGGCAUCCUGGACCGAGAUUGACGCUGAGGCGCGAAAGCCAGGGGAGCAAACGGG